rnacentral:SRP_RNA from 1 species
UGCCAGGGGUCAUGCGAAGGAUCGCCGCCCAACCCCGUCAGGUUCGGAAGGAAGCAGCGGUAAGCGGAAGGUUUUUGCGCCGUGAAUUCCCUGGCGGGG